ACGACGGCCUCCUCUGGCCUCGUCUAGGGCGGGGGAUGGGAACCCCCCCCCCCACCCCGGGCCCAGCCCUCGACGCCCUGCUCGCGCUCCUCUUAUCGCCCGCCGGCCCAGUGCCUCCGGGACCCUCCGGGGCCGGACGCAGAGCCGACGAGUCCCGCAGUGCCCAGGUGAGACCCAGAAGCGUGGGGACAGGCCAGGGCCCCACCCCCAUGGCCCCACCGAACAGAGAGGAAGAGGAAGUACAGCGUGGGCCUGUGUGGGGGCGCCGGCCCAGACAGCCUCCUGUGCAGCCAGAUGGCCGGCCAUCUGCGGUCCCCUCCUCCUCGCGGCGUGGCCAGACCGGGUGCCGGGGCGAGCCUCCUCAAAGCUGGCAGAGCGUGUUAGGGCCAUGUGCUGCCUGGCAGGCUGGGGGCUGCGCCCCGGGGAGAGGCGACCGGACGCACGGACAGCCGGGCAGAGGCAGGCCCGCCGGGCCCAGCUGCUGCGGCCCCUUCUGCGGCCCCGCCUCUCGCCUCAUAAGAUGGGGCGAUCGGGGAAGGCUUCUCAGAGGAAGGGGCACGGAGAGAGACCCAGUUGGAGUAAAGAGCCAGCACUGAGGCUCCCAGGGGAAGGGACCGGCCCGAAAAGACCCGAGGUGGACAGGCUUGGUGUGUCCAACACCCCGGGGAGUCCAGGCCCCUGGGCUGGCACAGCCUUGAUAAUGAUGAAGGUUUAUAUUUUCCAUAAGAAGUCCUGCGGUGGAGGAACUUCUGAGCAGGCUGGUUCGGCAGCUCAGUGGUGGCGUCCGGACCAGGGUCUCUCCCUGUAUGUCCUCUGCCACCCUCAGUACGGAUCACUCCCCUCACGGCCCCAAAAUGGCUGCAGCAGAUCCAGUCAUCACAUCCCACCAGGACAAACUGCAGCCCAAGAUGAGCCAGCCAUAUCUUCCUCGUGUUUCUCUCUUUUUCAAGAGCAAACCAAGAUUCCCCAUAACCCCCCACUGGAACCCCUUUCACACCUCACUGGUUUCAGUUGGGUCACACGCGAGGGGCACAGGACAGCCAUUGACUGGCUCAGACCAAGGGUCAGCAAAUCUGGCCCCAAGUCCGCCUGUGUAAAUAAAGAUUUAUUGGUACGCAGCCACACCA